UACGGGGGGGUGCGAGCGUUGUCCGGAAUCACUGGGCGUAAAGGGCGCGUAGGUGGUUUGAUAAGGGUGUGGUGAAAGUCCGGAGCUCAACUCCGGAUCUGCCGUGCCGACUGUCAAAACUCGAGGGCUGUAGAGGCAGACGGAAUUCCGGGUGUAGCGGUGGAAUGCGUAGAGAUCCGGAGGAAGACCGGUGGCGAAGGCGGUCUGCUGGGCAGUUUUCUGACACUGAGGCGCGCAGCGUGGGGG
rnacentral:rRNA from 1 species